rnacentral:rRNA from 1 species
UACAGAGGUCCCAAGCGUUGUUCGGAUUCAUUGGGCGUAAAGGGUGCGUAGGCGGCGCGGUAAGUCGGGUGUGAAAUCUCGGGGCUUAACUCCGAAACUGCAUUCGAUACUGCCGUGCUUGAGGACUGGAGAGGAGACUGGAAUUUACGGUGUAGCGGUGAAAUGCGUAGAUAUCUGGAGGAACACCGGUGGCGAAGGCGGCAUCCUGGACCGAGAUUGACGCUGAGGCGCGAAAGCCAGGGGAGCAAAGCGGG